CGCCCACUCCCCGAGCGCCAGCGCCGCAAGCCUGGCCGGGUCGCACACACGGCUGGGGCGCCUCCCCUUGGCUCCCGCGUGGAUCUGCCCUUCCCCGGCUAUGGCUCCAGCGUUGAGCCGCUCUACCGCGGACCACACUCCUAAUGCGCAGCCAUAGCACAGCCUCCGCCUCCGCCUGCCAAGUACAGGUAACGAACAUCUAUGCCGAGGGUUCACACGCCCGGUACCCUCCCCAACAGGUACCCUCCGCUUUCACCUGACGUUUUGAUGCAGCCCUUAUGAGAUGCUACUUGCCAUUUCAACCCCAAGGAUGAUUUGCUCGGCUGCCUUGAUGUGGGCUAAAAACAAAUCAUGAAACUGCCAGCUUGUUUUUAUUACCAAGACAGACUUCAGAAGGAGAUCGUCAGCCACCCACACGCACCCCUCAACUGCGGAAUGAAUAAAUUGGCUGUGGAUGCAUGUGCUGUUUACAUAAUGGAAUACCACAUAGCAAAGGGAAUAAACAACUGUCAGGCCAAGGCUGGGGCUCCAGUGUUAAUACACACCAGUAUCGAGUGGAUGUGGAGAUGUGAAUGAAGGCCAGCAUUUCAACACACUGCCCACCAUCAGAAGGAUGCAAAGCACAUGUGAUCUCAGUGAUGGAUUUGCCAAAUACAGCAGGUGAUUCAGUUGUCACUUGGGUUGAGUUAUUUGAAUUAAACUCAAAUCUGGAUCUUUAAUUGUGCUUAAAAUAUCUUUGAAAUAUUGCAAUGAGCUAUAACAUUGAAAUGAAAAUUGAUUUGUGCAUACCAUGCCAUAAAAGUAGGGUUGUGGAACAUAGAUUCAAGAAAAGUGCAGCAAAUAAUAGUCACUGGAAGCACAAGUGAACUUGCAUCUGUUCUCAGAAAGGAUAUAAAAAGCAGAAAACGUGCAAAAAAUUGAGUUCAGGAGGCCAGAGAUCUGAAACCGGUGUCAGAAGGUUGGCUCCUUUUGGAAGCUCUAGGAGAAAAUCAACUCUAUGCCUUUGUCCUAGCUUCUGGUGGUUGCUGAGCAACCCUUGGCAUUCCUUGGCUUGAAGUGGCUGAUCUCUGCCUCUGUCAUCAGAGACAGUCCUCUGCUCUGGAAUGAGGGUGAAGAUGGAACAACAAUGGAUCAAGCCUUUAUGAAAAAUUAGACAAAAGGUUCAGUGUCCAGGCAGGGAUAGUGGACAACAUGAAGGUACAUAAAAAUGACCUGAAAGGGGGACUGCUUGGAGAGACUUUCCUUCUGGGCAUUACUAACUGAAUUCGAAGAAAAUCCAACCACACUUAGUUUUCUAAAUUCUAUCGAAAUGAGAGUGAUCAUAAAAAAGCCUGAGAUUAAUAAGAGGCAGGCCGCUGAGGAACACUGAGAAACAAAAGCUAAGGUGGUUUGGCAUUAAAAUAGGUUUACAUUCCAAAGAAUAAAUGUAACCAAAAUGUAAAAAAAACAACAACAACUUUUUA